rnacentral:misc_RNA from 1 species
GCCGGGCUGUCGCACCUACGCGGGCAGCAUUUUGAUAGGAGAUUACGGUAUGGCUAAUGGCACCGUAAAAUGGUUCAACUCAACCAAAGGCUUCGGCUUUAUCGCACCUGAAGGUGGCGGCAAAGACGUAUUCGUUCACAUUUCUGCCGUUGAGCGCGCCGGUCUGACCGGUCUGGCCGACGACCAGAAAGUGACAUUCGACAUCGAAGCAGGCCGUGACGGUCGCGAGUCGGCAUCGAACAUCGUUCUGGCCUGAUACGAUCAGAUCUGAAUUUCGCAAGCGGCGUCGGGGAAACCCGGCGCCAUUUGU